GCUCAGUAACACGUGGCCAAACUACCCUCUGGAGCGCGACAACCUCGGGAAACUGAGGCUAAUCGUGCAUACCGCUCUCACGCUGGAAGCUGCGGAGAGCUCGAAACGCCCCGGCGCCAGAGGAUGUGGCUGCGGCCGAUUAGGUAGACGGUUGGGUAACGGCCCACCGUGCUAGUAAUCGGUACGGGUUGUGAGAGCAAGAGCCCGGAGACGGUAUCUGAGACAAGAUACCGGGCCCUACGGGGCGCAGCAGGCGCGAAACCUUUACACUGCACGCCAGUGCGAUAAGGGGACUCCAAGUGCGAGGGCAUAGAGCCCUCGCUUUUCUGUACCGUAAGGUGGUACAAGAAUAAGUGCUGGGCAAGACCGGUGCCAGCCGCCGCGGUAAUACCGGCAGCACGAGUGAUGGCCGCUCUUAUUGGGUCUAAAGCGUCCGUAGCUGGCCGCGCAAGUCCAUCGGGAAAUCCGCACGCUUAACGUGUGGGCGUCCGGUGGAAACUGCGUGGCUUGGGACCGGAAGAUCCAGAGGGUACGUCCGGGGUAGGAGUGAAAUCCUGUAAUCCUGGACGGACCACCGGUGGCGAAAGCGCUCUGGAAAGACGGAUCCGACGGUGAGGGACGAAAGCUCGGGUCACGAACCGGAUUAGAUACCCGGGUAGUCCGAGCUGUAAACGAUGUCUGCUAGGUGUGCCACAGGCUACGAGCCUGUGGUGUGCCGUAGGGAAGCCGUGAAGCAGACCGCCUGGGAAGUACGUCCGCAAGGAUGAAACUUAAAGGAAUUGGCGGGGGAGCACUACAACCGGAGGAGCCUGCGGUUUAAUUGGACUCAACGCCGGACAUCUCACCAGCAUCGACAGUAGCGAUGAAGAUCAGUGUGAUGAGCUUAUCGGAGCUACUGAGAGGAGGUGCAUGGCCGCCGUCAGCUCGUACCGUGAGGCGUCCUGUUAAGUCAGGCAACGAGCGAGACCCGCACUCCUAAUUGCCAGCAACACCCUUGUGGUGGUUGGGUACAUUAGGAGGACUGCCAGUGCCAAACUGGAGGAAGGAACGGGCAACGGUAGGUCAGUAUGCCCCGAAUGUGCUGGGCAACACGCGGGCUACAAUGGUCGAGACAGUGGGAUGCAACCCCGAGAGGGGGCGCUAAUCUCCGAAACUCGAUCGUAGUUCGGAUUGCGGACUGAAACUCGUCCGCAUGAAGCUGGAUUAGGUAGUAAUCGCCGUUCA
rnacentral:rRNA from 1 species